GAUGAACGCUGGCGGCGUGCCUAAUACAUGCAAGUCGAGCGAACGGACGAGAAGCUUGCUUUUCUGAUGUUAGCGGCGGACGGGUGAGUAACACGUGGAUAACCUACCUAUAAGACUGGGAUAACUUCGGGAAACCGGAGCUAAUAUCGGAUAAUAUUUUGAACCGCAUGGUUCAAAAGUGAAAGACGGUCUUGCUGUCACUUAUAGAUGGAUCCGCGCUGCAUUAGCUAGUUGGUAAGGUAACGGCUUACCAAGGCAACGAUGCAUAGCCGACCUGAGAGGGUGAUCGGCCACACUGGAACUGAGACACGGUCCAGACUCCUACGGGAGGCAGCAGUAGGGAAUCUUGCGCAAUGGGCGAAAGCCUGACGGAGCAACGCCGCGUGAGUGAUGAAGGUCUUCGGAUCGUAAAACUCUGUUAUUAGGGAAGAACAUAUUUGUAAGUAACUGUGCACAUCUUGACGGUACCUAAUCAGAAAGCCACGGCUAACUACGUG
rnacentral:rRNA from 1 species